CACACGCACUGCAUGGUACCGUGUGAUGAGGGAAAUGAGGAGCGGCUUCUGCAAGACAGAGUUCUGUGGGUGCAACAGGGACGUAUCCAGGAAAGGACUCAGGGAGGGGCGAGGAGUCCUCCCAGACAGCACCCCCCCACCCUAAAUGAGCCGGGGCGGGCCAGCCUGAGUGGACAGCUGCGCAGAAGCAAGGAGGGCACAGGGCAUGUGGCCUGAGGGUCAGCAAGUCGUCCGGGGAGGGAAGCACCCAGGAGACUCAGGAAGGGCAUGUUGGUGGCCACCAGGCUCUGCCAAAUGUUCCCCUACAUCCUGUUGCCCACAGGCCGCACAGCCUCCCCAGGGAGCUGAAAGCCUCUAAUGAGGACCACAUGGACCUUCCAGAAGACCCUGUGGAUUCCAGGAAAAAUAAGCAUUACAAAAUACGAAAUACCAGUUCUCGUUGUGGGAGCCAGCACCCUGUAUGUCUUGCAUCUUGUUUAAAAAGCCCGAGGAGAGCCCGGAGCGCCGGUGGCUAACAUCCACGGCUCAGGGUGCAGAGCGCUACUCAGCAGCCCUGACGGCUCCUUCCUGAAGCUGCGGUGGGGCCCUGCCCGCAGGGCAGGUCGGAGGCGGCCCUGGGGUCAGGACCCGCGGCCUGCACAGCCCAGGACAGGGCCGGGCUGGCGGGGCCUUUCUGCUUCAGACCCAGCGCAGCGCGGAGACGGGUCAAGGCCACCUCCAGGGCUUAGUCUUGCUGGCUCUGCACUCAUGUAAAGAUAGCAAGUUGCAGAACAGA